GGUAAAGGCCUGGAGGAAGAACGGAGAGGCAGGCAGGAUUUCGGAGCAAGAAUUUCGUUGUUGCAGAUUUUUUGUGUUACUGUAAAUAAUGUGGCAGAUUUUCAAGGAGACUUGAUACGAGCUGCUAGUGACUUACAAGUGUAGAUCUUCAAUUUCCUUUAUCACUUGAAGCAAAUAUUAUGCAACACUCGCUGAUCAAAUCCUUUUAAAAGGACCGAAUUCUGGAUAAUAAAAGAAACAGAAUGUCUUCAAACAGCCUCUGUUAUCUCUUUGGAAUAUUACUGCUAGAAACUCUCAUCAAGUCAACUGGUGCUAAGAACUGUGGUGAUAAAGACUGUGAUGGUUCGUGUUGUGGAGUCGAAUACCCUAAAUCAGACCAUUUUAAAAGUAACGAUUUUUCUGACCCAUUUACCAAUGACAAAGACGAUUCUUCUUCCCUCAACAAGCAUGACGACUCUGUUUUAGAAGGCCCACUAAAAUUCAGAGAGAAAGUUCCAAGCCAUGGAAUUGAGAUGCUACAGAAGGAUCCUAGGUAUCACAUUUAAAGACCGCAUCACAAAUGAAGAGAUUAGAAACGUGAUGAAUGAUUAGCACAGCGAUUGGACCUCACAAUGACCUUCUAACUAUUGUCAAAAAAAAAAAGAGCUAACUAAAACUUUAUUGCAAUGUCACAUGGUCCCCAAGGCUCACAAAGACCUUCCUUCAGGGAACAGAACCAAGAAAAAAGAAGAACUGGCAGAGAAAGCAAUGUGAAGACAAUAUAAAGGGAUGGAGAAAAACGGUCAACAGAUCUUGAGUGGUGCCCCAACUGUCAGACAGACCAAGGGAUGAAGGCGAAGGAAUAUGGUGAGUCUUUAUUAUUGCUAGUAGUAUCAUAGCUUUCUUGGUGAUCGUGGUAAUAAUUACAAUUUGCUGCAAUUGGAAAAGAAUACAAAGUCAUAACUUGAUGUGGUCUGGAAGACGUCACUUCGGAGGUGGUCACACAACUAUUAUUAAUCAAUAUGGCAGCACAGGAUAUCCGCUCCAGCCUCAAGAACCAUGUCCGCCUCAACAACCAGCUCAACAACAGUACCCAGUUCCAACACAAUAUCCAGAUCAACCCCAAUAUCCAGUUCAACCCCAAUAUCCAGUUCAACCUCAAUAUCAAGUUCCACCUCAAUACCCAGUUUCAUCUCAAUAUCCAGAUCAGUCUCAAUAUCCAGUUUCAACUCAAUAUCCAGUUCCAACUCAAUAUCCAGUUUCAACUCAAUAUCCAGUUCCAACUCAAUAUCCAGCUUCAGCUCAAUAUCCAGAUCAACCUCCGUAUCCAGCACCUAAGCAAUAUCCUCCACCGCCGUACCCAAGCUAAAAGAAGUUCGCGGAGACUUCACACUAUUGAAGCCUUCACAAGCUGUACGCAACACAUAUUAAGAUUGAACACGACAAUACGUCUACAUUCUAAUGGGCUGGGGGCUUAAACUCAAGACGAAACACUGACCCAAGUCACACACAACAUGGAGCCGAAAAGAAAAAAAACUAGAGUCUAGACCAUCCACGAAUCACAUGACGUCUCAUCCUUUUAGAAGCCCUCAAGUCCGUGGGCACCAGUUGGGAAGAGGCUUUGAAAGUCACCUAUACCGAUCUCUGUGGAGAGCGUGCCAGACUAUGCACAAACAGUGCCACGGCUACCGGACGGAAUUCUAAACAUAAAGCUUUGGCAAAGAAUAACGGGUGCUUAAAUUAUGAAUACGAUUUUAUAUCAUUAUCAAAAGAACAUUUACCUAGGCCAGGGGUCGGCAACCUUUUGAGUCGGAAGAGCCAAAAUUUACAAUUUACAAAGUUUUUAAAGAGGCACAAUUUUUUUCUUCAAAACAAUAAAUAGUACUCGAUGGCUUUGCGUAGAUGUAGAAAGCUUGGAUACAUUUGGCUCAUAACUUGUUUUUAGUUUCAAACACGACUUUAAAUUUUCAUUUGUUAGUUGGCUUCUUACUUUACUUUUAAUUAUAUUCAUGCAAGAGAACGCUUGCUCGCACGAAUAUGUCAAUCUGAUGAUUGACAGCAUUCCAAACGCAAACGCUCUAUUUUCCCCUCUAGUUUGUCACGAAAGCGGUAGCAAUCCUAGAAGUUCUUAUUUUAGACCUUGGCAAGACAUAUAUUUGACAAAAAAAGGGCAACUUGUGACUCAUUUAUAGCAAGUGAUAAGACAGAAAAAAACUGAAUAUCUUUCAGCUGCAAAUAUGUUACAUUUCAAGACAUGGGGGAGGGCUGAGCUGAAAAGUGAGUACGAUUGGCUGAGAGAUAGAAUCGGUGCCUAAUCCUCGUUAAUCGAUUCAGAACGAUUUAAUUAUUUAAAGUUAAAAAUAAAUCAUAUUUGCGUGAGGAAAUAAAGAGCCGCAGCUUAACAUCCAAAGAGCCGCAUGUGGCUCGCGAGCCGCAGGUUGCCGACCCCUGACCUAGGCUUAUGAUAGAAUAUAACUGGGGUCGCCUCAUGGAAGAAAUGGCGAAAAGAGGUCGCUGAAUUACAUUACAAAAGGUUGAGAACCGCUGACUCAAGUUGUGCAGACACUUUUACAUUGCAUUAAUUAUACUCUGGCUACAUAAAAUAUUGGUUUGGAUCAAGACAUGCUUUGGUGCUUUGUAUUAUGUAUAAACCUUAAAGAGUAAAGGGUAUCGUUAACAGCGAUAAUGAAUAGUGACUACUAUCUCAGGCAUGACCUAUGACCGCUCGGUAUGCUGUACUAUCAGUUGUAAGUCAAAAAUGUAUCGGUCAGAAAAAGUGUUGAUUCUAAGUGGAAGCGAUGCUUUAAGUUGUUGAAACACGCUUUUGGUCAAACUAGGGGGGAAUGAAAUGAAAAGGAAGAGUGGAAGACCUGAAAGCCGAAAAGGGGAGGGGGGGGGGGGAGGGGGACGAGGCGGGUCAGUAUACUUUUAACAAUGCUUAUAUCAACUCACCCUAUCUGUCUGUCUGUCUGUCUAAUAAAACGUUUUUAGACCUACAUGGGAUUUCUCCCACACCCAAUUUCGGAUCAAGCUGAAAUUUUGCAAAAUAAUUUCUUAUACCUGACGACACAAUAAUUAAUAAAGAAAAUUAAAAUUAACACAUAAGUUAAUUAACUAUUGGUAAUUAAUUUUUUUUUUUUGGGGGGGGGGGGUAUUUUCAACUAGGGAAAGAAAUUGUACUUGACUGACUAUAUAAGCUGAAUUAAUCCCCUGCCCCCGCCUUAAAGUUGGAAGCCAACUUAUAAAUGCGACUGCUUUCAUAAUUACUUCGCUAGUUCAGCGGUAGAGGGUCAGGUCGGGAGGCUUUAACACUGAGUUGGAAAUUCAAGUCGUUCCCCCUUUUUAAAAAUAUCUUUUUUUUUUAAACAUUUAAAAUGCGAUGACCCAGACAGUAAUUUCCCAAACUGGUCCAGACAAGUGAUAUAUUGCGCUAAACAAAAAGAAUUGGUAAAACUAUUUUUAAUCGCACAGAUGUUGUUGUUGGUCUCAAUCUAUGACAAAUUUAAUUACAUCGCUGAUCUAAAUUAAUUGAUACAAUAAUACUUCGUAAAAGCUUUGUUGUUGUUUUUUUUCAGUAUUUUUUUUAUAUGAACUAUUCAUACUUUGAGACAAAGUUCGUUGCUAACACCAUGACGGUAACAGUUAGGGAAUGUAUUAUAUGUUAAUAAGAUAACGAAGAGAAAAGAGUGUUCUUUGGUUGUUUUUUUUUCUUGCUUAGGAGAAUGAUGAAUACAUGAGCUGGUCAAUCAUAAUUUUAUUGUUAAUAAGUCACGUGGGUGUGAGCUGAAGUCUAAGACGAGAAGUGAGACAGUACAGUCAUGCAUAAGUUGUGAAUUAGAUUUCGCUUAAAUAUAAUUUCAUUUCAUCACUAUUUAGAUCUCGUCUCAAGUUGAAUCUGUGUAUAUUGUCAUAAAAAGUAACGUUGUGUUUAAUUUUUGGGUUUCAGCGGAAGGUGUGUGUGUGUGUGGAAUAGUGCCUAUGUUAAAAGUGUGAGAACUACUGGUUUAAAUAAUGAUUAUAUGUAUAUAUAUAUAUAUAUAUAUAUAUAGUUCGUCCAUCGUGGUUCGAUGAUGACCACUUUGUCAUCCAGGGGGCUGAGGGCUUUGCACUGGGGCUUUAUGCCUGCUCAUAUGGCUGGUGAGACCUAUGUGAGCCCGGAAUGUUCAGCUGCACACUGGGCAGGUUAUUCCGGCUGGAGCUAGUGUCGUGGGCCUUGCUUUUCUUCUCUGGCGUUUUUCUUCUGCCAGCGUUGUUCUCUUUUCCUCAGCAACCUGUGCGCCAGUUUUCACAGCGCGACGCCAUCAUGCUCUGUCAUGUGUCUCUGUCUCCCAGGUGCCUGGGUCUAUGCUGAACGCCUUCAGAGAAGCUUUGAGGGUGUCACUGAAGCGCUUUCUUUGACCACAAUAAGAAUUAUGCAAGAAAACAAACUUAAAGGGACGUAAUUCUCUCGUGUGUUGUGCUUUAGGUGUAUGUGACUAGAUCUCGUUCUUACAAAGCUUAUAUCAACUAACCCUGUCUGUAUUGGUGAAUUAUUUUACACUUGCCAUUUUCGGAUGAAGUUGAAACUUGGCAUAAUUAAUCAGGAAUUGAUUUUUAAAAAAAAAAGCAACUAAUUUAUCGAUUCGAGUAUUGGACGAUGCUCUCCCUUCACUCAAAAUAAAUUGUUUCAUGUUUACAAA